rnacentral:rRNA from 1 species
AACGAACGCUGGCGGCAGGCUUAACACAUGCAAGUCGAGCGCCCCGCAGGGGGAGCGGCAGACGGGUGAGUAACGCGUGGGGAUCUGCCUAGUGGUACGGAACAACACGGGGAAACUCGUGCUAAUACCGUAUAAGUCCUUCGGGAGAAAGAUUUAUCGCCAUUAGAUGAACCCGCGUCUGAUUAGCUAGUUGGUGAGGUAACGGCUCACCAAGGCGACGAUCAGUAGCUGGUCUGAGAGGAUGAUCAGCCACACUGGGACUGAGACACGGCCCAGACUCCUACGGGAGGCAGCAGUGGGGAAUAUUGGACAAUGGGCGCAAGCCUGAUCCAGCCAUGCCGCGUGAGUGAUGAAGGCCUUAGGGUUGUAAAGCUCUUUCGCUGGGGAAGAUAAUGACGGUACCCAGAGAAGAAGCCCCGGCUAACUUCGUGCCAGCCGCCGCCGUAA